AAUUUUUGACAAGAGGGACAAGAUUCACGGUGAUAUAUUUAUUAUGUUAUAAAUGAAUAACCCAUUGAUUUUUUUGUCAAUGCAGCCUCUCGAUUAAGAUGAAUCUUUGGAUUUUGAAUGCUAUCUUGUGAGUUUCUGCAGGAAGGACGGUCAUGAGAGGGCUUUCAUCCUUUAGCUUCUAGAUCAUAGCCUGAACUCAAUAACUUCCGUAAAUCUAAAAAGUCAUUCAAUCAGUAAAAGUUCCCGACACAAAAGUAACCUCUCAAAGCGCAAAACUGAUCAACUUCAAAGGCAAACCAACAACACUGAUGCUACUUUGACAGGUAAUAAUAGUCUUUCUUCACUAAUCUUCCAGCUUAAAAAAGCCCAACUCAGUUUCCAGUCCCAAAAGGUUAUUUCAUAGAAAAGGAGCCUGCCUUGUGGAUGUUGGCUUGCGAUACAUUAUUCCGCUGCCUGUCAGAGAAGUGUAUGCCAAGAGAGGCAGGUGCAUUAUCGACGAAACUUGGGUAGGGGGGUUACUGGCCUGACAUUUCGACGUUUAACAUCCCAGUGACUUGUUUGCUAGAGGGCGUGGAUGUCAAUGAGACGUGUGGGAUGUUGGAUAGAUUUAUUGAACAGGGUGCGAAGUUGGGGUUUAGCAUUUACCUUGAAUUGAUUGAAACUUUGUACAAGGCAGGAAGAGGUAUGGAGGGUGAUCCGUAAUAGAAUCAAAUGGUCACAGAUGGACUUGUGUCAGAUGUCUUUUCUCAUAACAUGCCAGUUGAUUGCUUCUGCAAAGCCAAUGUGAUGAACGAGGCAGCAAAGGCUUUCAAAGUGAUGCAAGAUAAGAGGUUGAUGAUGCUUUAGGCUGUUUCAGUGAAAUGGUGGAGUGGGGUAUCUCUCUUAAUGCUGUCACGGACAAUAUAUUGAUUGAUUGGUUCUCUGUGUGUUAGAGGGGAUGCUGUUAGAUCAAUGAAACUCUUGCUAGACAUGCAAAAACAUGGAAAAAGCAUUGAUAUUUUAUCUGCAUUUCUUGUUGGGGUGUCUAUAUUCUGCUGCAGCCUAGGGAGGCGGACGAAGAUGGGCCUCAAACAGGCACAGGAAUUGCUGGCGGCAUGCCUCAAACAGUCACAGGCAUUGUAGAUGCUGAUCCGGCUGAAGUUGUUGCAAAAGCUUUGCCAUGUUUCAACAAUAAAUAUGUAAGUGGGAUCUUGAUUUUAUCCACCCAUGGUAGGAUACAUGCGGUCGAGUACGUUGAAAUAUGUUCGAUUAAUCAUCGCUGCUUCACCCAGUGAUCCUUUUAUGUGCUUGUUUCUGACUUGCAUAUUAAUGUUGCCUGUUAGGUUUAUAAUUUCCUUCACUUACCUCCACUGCUGGGUUAAGUACUUACGUUUCUGGGAGCUGUCUCUGGUGUGGUCUUUCUUGGGCAUUGUUCUUUGUUCAUUUUCUCUUUAGCUCCAAAAGAGUUAUCAUGUGAAACGUUUAAUCAGUGGUCAAAAUGUUCUUUCAUGCUUCGUACAAAUUGCUUUGGCAUUGAUUUUUGCUAAGUCCCGGCUUUACAGCAGCUAUCAAGAAGCCUAUAGAUUGACCUAGACUGGUAACCUUAAUGGGCUUCCUGAAUAUGUUGAUCCCUACUGCAAUGGACCGUGCCCUUCAGAGACAAAUUUGGUGAUCGAAAACAUCACGAAAAACUUUGUUUUCUAUAAUAAAUCCACCAUAGAGGAUGUUCGAGACACAAUCAAGGCAGGAUGUUGCUAUGGUCCCGAAAGAGGUAAUUUUGACGUGUCUGAGCACCUUCAAGCUGAACAAAACAAUGCAUACAACACCGCAAAUCAGAUUCUGCUAGGACUUGGCUUCAUGUUUGCUGGGCCUGCUUUGUUGCUUUGAUAUUUAUUAUGAUGUCUGCAAUUUGUGGUUGGAGGUUGCUUGUUUUCAGAGGGAUUUCUUCUAGUUGAGAUGUUCUGAGAGAGGAGACGAGCGUUAUUUUUCGCUAGCUUGAAGUUAAUGUGCUCAUUUUGGCAUUCAGAAAGAAAAUAACAAGUUAUAUUUGUGUCCUGGUAUGUAAUAGCAAAAUGUGCAGUUUUGAAAGCUUGAUUUGAUGAGUUCCUGGAACUAAAUUUUGUUCAAGCUA